rnacentral:rRNA from 1 species
GGAUUAGAUACCCUGGUAGUCCACGCCGUAAACGAUGUCAACUAGCCGUUGGGAUAUUAUUUCUUAGUGGCGCAGCAAACGCGAUAAGUUGACCGCCUGGGGAGUACGGCCGCAAGGUUAAAACUCAAAUGAAUUGACGGGGGCCCGCACAAGCGGUGGAGCAUGUGGUUUAAUUCGAUGCAACGCGAAGAACCUUACCACCCCUUGACAUCCUCAGAACUUGUCAGAGACGACUUGGUGCCUUCGGGAACUGAGAGACAGGUGCUGCAUGGCUGUCGUCAGCUCGUGCUG